rnacentral:rRNA from 1 species
GUUGUGGUUAAGUGGUAAACGAUGUGGGAAGGCUUAGACAGCUAGGAGGUUGGCUUAGAAGCAGCCACCCUUUAAAGAAAGCGUAAUAGCUCACUAGUCGAGUCGGCCUGCGCGGAAGAUGUAACGGGGCUCAAACCACACACCGAAGCUGCGGGUGUCACGCAAGUGACGCGGUAGAGGAGCGUUCUGUAAGCCUGUGAAGGUGAGUUGAGAAGCUUGCUGGAGGUAUCAGAAGUGCGAAUGCUGACAUGAGUAACGACAAUGGGUGUGAAAAACACCCACGCCGAAAGACCAAGGGUUCCUGCGCAACGUUAAUCGACGCAGG